rnacentral:hammerhead_ribozyme from 1 species
AUCCAUCUGACGAGUCCCAAAUAGAACGAAACGGACGUCGAAUUGGAU